GGGGGCGACAGGUUUCGACGGGGGAAGCGGAGGCAAGAGGAGCGAGCCGGGGUUGCUGCCAGCCCGUUAAAACGGUGGCAAAAGUAUAAACGCCAACAAACAAGAGCUCGCUCUGGCCGCAUAAGUUCGGCCAGCAUCCUGCGCGCCUUUGCCUGCGGGGCGGGUCGGGGUGUGACAUGAGCAGGCUUGCCUUAAGGCCGGUUCCCGGCGGCCGGUAGGGAGAACUAACCGGGAUAGCGUCCGGUAGAGCCUGGCUGUGGGCGCUACCGGCGCGAAGCGCAGUACACAGCCUGCGCUCGGAGAAACUCUUGUGGCCGGUCCUUCGGACGGGGGUUCGAUUCCCCCCGCCUCCACCA
rnacentral:tmRNA from 1 species